rnacentral:misc_RNA from 1 species
GAUGAAGAACGCAGCGAAAUGCGAUAAGUAAUGUGAAUUGCAGAAUUCAGUGAAUCAUCGAAUCUUUGAACGCACAUUGCGCCCGCCAGUAUUCUGGCGGGCAUGCCUGUUCGAGCGUCAUUUCAACCAUCAAGCCCUGCUUGCGUUGGGGUCCUGCGGCUGCCCGCAGGCCCUGAAAACCAGUGGCGGGCUCGCUAGUCACACCGAGCGCAGUAAUACAUCUCGCUUUGGGCGUGCGGCGGGUUCUUGCCGUGAAACCCCCCACUGUAACCCCAAAGGUUGACCUCGGAUCAGGUAGGAAUACCCGCUGAACUUAAGCAUAUCAAUAAGCGGAGGA